rnacentral:lncRNA from 1 species
GUGUUAGCCCUCAGUUUGAAUGCGGCCGUCUGUUAAAAAUCCGUAAGUGGUGAGAAGAAGGGGGGGGGGGGGGGGGGGGGGGGGGGGGGGGAGGCGGAAUUCCUUGUCUGAAGAGAAGCAAAAACAAGUUACACAUGUGGGCAAUUUUCCAAGAACCCGAAGUAUACUCCGGUUAAAAAACACAAUUCCAAAUGAGGUUUGUAAUCUCAGCAGUUAAUAAAGCAUUUCGAUCCCCUGUAAAGUAAAAGCGUAUGGGCUUUGUAAAAGGGGAAGCCGGAGGAGAGAAAGUUAAAAUAAAGUUGGAUUGUUGUUCAGGAGCCCACAUUUUAGCUACCAGACUGAUUCUUCCCUCCAUCUCCUCUUCUCCCUCCAUGAAAUCAUAUUGAGCUCCCAAGAAAUAACUGGGAGACCGCAUCGCUCCCGAUGUCGCCGGUUUUGGGGGUUUUAUACCCAGCUGCUGCUGGGUCACCCGUUACGAUCUGCUGUGGGGUCACAGCCAGAUAGUGGGAACCCCCCCCCGAAAAAAAAAUAAAACAAAAAAUCGUCUGAUGUCUGGGAGGGAUCUGCCUCCACCACAUCGAAGCAAGGCGGUAGGGUGGAAAAAGGGCACAGGUACGAGAAUGAAGUCCAGAAGGGAGAGUUUUUCUGUAAAAUGUGUAGCGAUAAAAGAAGGUGCGGUAAUAAAAUAGCAUAAAAGGGGGAAAUUCUUUCAGGCGGGCUCUUUCCGCACCGCUUUCCACCCCCCCCCCCCCCUCCCAUACACACAGACCCCGAGUCGGGCCGAUAUGGGGCAGACGGGACCUUGGCAGGAGAGCAACUCGUGGGAAAUGUGUUGGACGACCCGCAGUUUCUCUCUGCUUCUUAGCUCAGAACUGCGCAUCACGUCGCAAACGGGGCAGUUACCACGAGGAGGGGAUUUUUUCACCAUCCCCACACAGCUGCUUUUCCAGGGCGAGCUGGAAAUGCGGGCGGUGUGCAGAAGCGAAACGAUCCCACAGUUCAGCUAAGGAACACGGAAUGAUUCCCAUAAAGCCGACCCCAAUUUGGGGCGAUCAGAACCACCUCAGCUCCAGCCCGGGGCUCUGCACCAAAUUCAGCAUCGUGAGCUGAGAUGGGGAGGGCGGGAGGGAGCUUCACUUACAGAAACAUCAUUUAAUUAAUCCACAGAUGCGGCAAAGCUUCUAAAUGAAUCGAAUAAGACUUGAGGUCGCAAUAGGAACUUUGGGUGAAGCGGUUAAGGCCGAGCAUCGAGAAAGAAUUCAGGUAAAAGGGAGGAGGAAACGUUUGGAUAGCAUUAAAGAAAAGGAGUUGGCAAAAUACUUCCAGCAAACCUGCAGUCGGAUAUGAGCAUCUACUUAUCCGGCAUGAAACCUCUCUCUUUGCCAAGACUUUAUUGCUCCAACAAUUCAUUCGAUUAUUUUUUUCCCCCUAUUUUAUUUUUCGUGGGGAAAUCUGUCCAAAAAUUUUAGCCGCGUUCGGAGUCUUUUUUCAUUCUUCCUUCCCCCCAAUUAAUAUUUUAAUUAUUAGUUUAUACAUUUCGUGUUAUAUGUUUAAAUCUCUGAAAAAGGUAUCAGUUAAAUAAAUAAAUUGAAGAGUAAUAUUAUUGAGAGCUC